CGGGGUGUAGCGCAGUUGGUAGCGCGCUUGGUUCGGGACCAAGAGGCCGUGGGUUCAAAUCCCGUCACUCCGACCA
rnacentral:tRNA from 2 species